UACGUAGGGUGCAAGCGUUGUCCGGAAUUAUUGGGCGUAAAGAGCUCGUAGGCGGUCUGUCGCGUCGGAUGUGAAAAUCCAGGGCUCAACCCUGGACCUGCAUUCGAUACGGGCAGACUAGAGUUCGGCAGGGGAGACUGGAAUUCCUGGUGUAGCGGUGAAAUGCGCAGAUAUCAGGAGGAAUACCGGUGGCGAAGGCGGGUCUCUGGGCCGAAACUGACGCUGAGGAGCGAAAGCGUGGGGAGCGAACAGG
rnacentral:rRNA from 1 species